ACGACGCUGGCGGCGUGCUUAACACAUGCAAGUCGAACGGUGACGAGGAGCUUGCUCCUCUGAUCAGUGGCGAACGGGUGAGUAACACGUGAGCAACCUGCCCCAGACUCUGGGAUAACAGUUGGAAACAGCUGCUAAUACCGGAUACGAGACGGAGAGGCAUCUCUACCGUCUGGAAAGUUUUUCGGUCUGGGAUGGACUCGCGGCCUAUCAGCUAGUUGGUGAGGUAAUGGCUCACCAAGGCGACGACGGGUAGCCGGCCUGAGAGGGCGACCGGCCACACUGGGACUGAGACACGGCCCAGACUCCUACGGGAGGCAGCAGUGGGGAAUAUUGCACAAUGGGCGAAAGCCUGAUGCAGCGACGCCGCGUGAGGGAUGACGGCCUUCGGGGUGUAAAGUUCUUUUCUGUCAGAAGAAUAAGCUUGUCGAGACGAGUGAUGCCGGUAUGACAGGAAUAAGCAUCGGCUAACUCCGUG
rnacentral:rRNA from 1 species